AUUGAACGCUGGCGGCAUGCUUUACACAUGCAAGUCGAACGGUAACAGGGUGCUUGCACUGCUGACGAGUGGCGAACGGGUGAGUAAUGCGUCGGAACGUGUCGAGUAGUGGGGGAUAACGCCGCGAAAGUUGUGCUAAUACCGCAUACGUACUGAGGUAGAAAGUGGGGGACCUUCGGGCCUUCCGCUAUUCGAGCGGCCGCCGUCUGAUUAGUUAGUAGGUGAGGUAACGGCUCACCUAGGCGACGAUCAGUAGCGGGUCUGAGAGGAUGUUCAGCAAAACUGGUACUGAGAGACGUCCCAGACGCCUACGGGAUGCAGCAGUUGGGAAUUUUGCACAAAGGGGGAAACCCGGAUGCACCCAUGCCGCGUGGGUGAAGAAGGACUUCGGGUUGUAAAGCACUUUCAGCGAGGAGGAAAUGUUGAUGCCUAAUACGUAUCAACUGUGACGUUACUCGCAGAAAAAGCACCGGCUAACUCCGUGCCAGCCGCCGCCGUAAAAC
rnacentral:rRNA from 1 species